rnacentral:tRNA from 1 species
ACCUGCCUGGCUCAGUCAGUAGAGCAUGCGACUCUUGAUCUUGGGUUGUGGGUUCAAGCCCCACAUUGGGUG